rnacentral:rRNA from 1 species
UACGUAGGAGGCGAGCGUUGUCCGGAGUUACUGGGCGUAAAGGGUGCGCAGGCGGCGGUUCGCGUGGAUAGAUGAAAUCUCCUGGCUUACCUGGGAGGAUGGUAUCCAGACGGGAUCGCUUGAGGGUCGGAGAGGGGCGUGGAAUUCCGGGUGGAGCGGUGAAAUGCGUAGAGAUCCGGAGGAACACCGACGGCGUAGGCAGCGCCCUGGACGACACCUGACGCUGAGGUGCGAAAGCGUGGGGAGCAAACAGG